rnacentral:rRNA from 1 species
UAGGGAAUCUUCCGCAAUGGGCGAAAGCCUGACGGAGCAACGCCGCGUGAGUGAUGAAGGGUUUCGGCUCGUAAAACUCUGUUAUUAGGGAAGAACAAAUGUGUAAGUAACUGUGCACAUCUUGACGAGACCUAAUCAGAAAGCCACGGCUAACUACGUGCCAGCAGCCGCGGUAAUACGUAGGUGGCAAGCGUUAUCCGGAAUUAUUGGGCGUAAAGCGCGCGUAGGCGGUUUCUUAAGUCUGAUGUGAAAGCCCACGGCUCAACCGUGGAGGGUCAUUGGAAACUGGGAAACUUGAGUGCAGAAGAGGAAAGUGGAAUUCCAUGUGUAGCGGUGAAAUGCGCAGAGAUAUGGAGGAACACCAGUGGCGAAGGCGACUUUCUGGUCUGUAACUGACGCUGAUGUGCGAAAGCGUGGGGAUCAAACAGG